rnacentral:rRNA from 1 species
AUUGAACGCUGGCGGCAGGCUUAACACAUGCAAGUCGAACGAUGAAGUCUAGCUUGCUAGACGGAUUAGUGGCGAACGGGUGAGUAAUGCUUAGGAAUCUGCCUAUUAGUGGGGGAUAACGUAGGGAAACUUACGCUAAUACCGCAUACGACCUACGGGUGAAAGGGGGCUUUUAGCUCUCGCUAAUAGAUGAGCCUAAGUCGGAUUAGCUAGUUGGUGGGGUAAAGGCCUACCAAGGCGACGAUCUGUAGCUGGUCUGAGAGGAUGAUCAGCCACAUUGGGACUGAGAUACGGCCCAGACUCCUACGGGAGGCAGCAGUGGGGAAUAUUGCACAAUGGGCGCAAGCCUGAUGCAGCGACGCCGCGUGGGGGAUGACGGCCUUCGGGUUGUAAACUCCUUUCGCCAGGGACGAAGCGUUUUGUGACGGUACCUGGAGAAGAAGCACCGGCUAACUACGUGCCAGCAGCCGCGGUAAUACGUAGGGUGCAAGCGUUGUCCGGAAUUACUGGGCGUAAAGAGCUCGUAGGUGGUUUGUCACGUCGUCUGUGAAAUUCCACAGCUUAACUGUGGGCGUGCAGGCGAUACGGGCUGACUUGAGUACUGUAGAGGUAACUGGAAUUCCUGGUGUAGCGGUGAAAUGCGCAGAUAUCAGGAGGAACACCGAUGGCGAAGGCAGGUUACUGGGCAGUUACUGACGCUGAGGAGCGAAAGCAUGGGUAGCAAACAGGAUUAGAUACCCUGGUAGUCCAUGCCGUAAACGGUGGGCGCUAGGUGUAGGGACCUUUUGGGGUUUCUGUGCCGUAGCUAACGCAUUAAGCGCCCCGCCUGGGGAGUACGGCCGCAAGGCUAAAACUCAAAGGAAUCGACGGGGGCCCGCACAAGCGGCGGAGCAUGUGGAUUAAUUCGAUGCAACGCGAAGAACCUUACCUGGGCUUGACAUACACUGGAUCGCUGCAGAGAUGUAGUUUCCCUUGUGGCUAGUGUACAGGUGGUGCAUGGCUGUCGUCAGCUCGUGUCGUGAGAUGUUGGGUUAAGUCCCGCAACGAGCGCAACCCUUGUCUUAUGUUGCCAGCACGUUAUGGUGGGGACUCAUGAGAGACUGCCGGGGUUAACUCGGAGGAAGGUGGGGACGACGUCAAGUCAUCAUGCCCCUUAUGUCCAGGGCUUCACACAUGCUACAAUGGCCGGUACAAUGCGCAGCGAGCCUGUGAGGGUGAGCUAAUCGCUUAAAGCUGGUCUUAGUUCGGAUUGGGGUCUGCAACUCGACCCCAUGAAGUCGGAGUCGCUAGUAAUCGCAGAUCAGCAAUGCUGCGGUGAAUACGUUCCCGGGCCU